rnacentral:lncRNA from 1 species
UAGAAGUCAGGUCGGAUUAAGCCAUAGUACGGAAAAAACUAUGCUACCUGUGAGCCCCGUCCAAGGACGUUAAAAGAAGUCAGGCCAUCAUAGAUGCCAUAGCUUGAGUAAACUAUGCUGCCUGUAGCUCCACCUGAGAAGGUGUAAAAAAUCUGGGAGGCCACAAACCAUGGAAGCUGUACGCAUGG